ACAUGAUAAGGAAAUGGUAGUUAAUACGAGAUUUCGGAAGAGAGCGGAGGGCUUGCUUACUCUUAUAAAGGUGCUGGAGGAUCUUUCUUUUUUUUUUUUUUGUAUCUAAUUUAAGGAGUAGAGGUAUGAAAGAAGGAAACUCUCAGGGGAAGGGGCAGUAGCCGAAGAAAAACAGAAAGCUUACUCAGUGAUAGGAUCGAGGACCAGGUUCAUAUCGCUUUUUGUCUCUAAAACUUUAUCGGAAUGUUGGGAAGGCGAGAAGGAAAUGGGAUAUUGGGAAAAA